GCCAGAUGUGGUGGCACAAGUCUGUAAUCCCAGUGACUUGGGAGGCUGGGGCAGGAGGAUUGCAUGUUUGAAGCCAGCCUCAGUGUCUUAGUGAGGCCCUAACCUAUUUUGUGAGACCCUGUCUCAA
rnacentral:sRNA from 1 species